rnacentral:rRNA from 1 species
AUGGAUCAAGUAGAGGUCAGCGAGGUGUUGGACAUCUGCUUUGCACUGGAAGGAGUAGAGAAGGCGAUGUUCUGGAAGCGAUGGGGGCAGUGGGCCGCGCCCGUGCAGGUGCCGUCACUGACGCUCCACCUUGAUAGCGCCGGUUGGGAGUUGCUGACGCUUCACCUGGACGGCAUGGGUUGGGAGUUGCUGACGCUCCACAUGGACGCGGCCAGCUGGGAGUUGCCGCGUGGGAAAUACGUGUUCGAGGACCACAUCAUGCUUGUCAUGUUCCUACUGCUAGACACAAUGGUCGGGGACCAGACCAUCAUCGGCAACUACCAAGAGAACACGCAAGUCGUCUAUGACCUCGACAUGGACGUGCUGCCCUUUGCACCAGCGCAGUUCGACAAGCUCAUAGCAUGA